rnacentral:rRNA from 1 species
UACGUAGGGUGCAAGCGUUUGUCCGGAAUUAUUGGGCGUAAAGAGCUUGUAGGCGGUUUGUCGCGUCUGCUGUGAAAUUUCGGGGCUCAACCCCGAACUUGCAGUGGGUACGGGCAGACUAGAGUGUGGUAGGGGAGACUGGAAUUCCUGGUGUAGCGGUGAAAUGCGCAGAUAUCAGGAGGAACACCGAUGGCGAAGGCAGGUCUCUGGGCCACUACUGACGUGAGAAGCGAAAGCAUGGGGAGCGAACAGG